rnacentral:rRNA from 1 species
AACGUACGCUGGCGGCACGCCUAACACAUGCAAGUCGAACGCAGUAGCAAUACUGAGUGGCAGACGGGUGAGUAACAUGCGGGAAUCUGCCUUGUGGUUCAGGACAACAUUGGGAAACCGAUGCUAAUACUGGAUAAGCCCUUACGGGGAAAGUUUUAAUGCCAUAAGAUGAGACCGCAUUUGAUUAGUUAGUUGGUGAGGUAAUGUCUCACCAAGACAAUGAUCAAUAGCUGAGCUGAGAGGAUGAUCAGCCACACUGGGACUGAGACACGGCCCAGACUCCUACGGGAGGCAGCAGUGGGGAAUCUUGCACGAUGGAGGAAACUCCGAUGCAGCGAUGCCGCGUGAGUGAAAAAGGCCUUUGGGUUGUAAAGCUCUUUUGUAGGGGAAGAUAAUGACUGUACCCUAAGAAUAAGGUCCGGCUAACUUCGUGCCAGCAGCCGCCGUAA